rnacentral:lncRNA from 1 species
GCCCCUCAUGUAUUUUGGAGUUGAAGAGUCUCCUCGAUGCUUCAAAAUGCACAGUAUGACUCUGCUCACCGUACAACUCUUAUAGGUAAGUGAUCAUUGUCCUGACAAUUAGCAUGUGCUCAUGCUGUCUUUGUAACUCAUUCAUCAUCAAAGUCAGUAUGUAGCACUUGAUCCAAUUAUCAUCAUUUGUUUACUUUUCUUGUGCUGCCUUCUAUUCAAUGAUAGGAUGGUUUGGCAAACUAGGGAGGUCCUGGUUGA